GCUGGAACCGCCUAAGACACCACCCCAGCCAGCAUGGCCGGCAGGAGCGCACCGCGCUGUCUCCCUCCAGGGAUCCGCACCGCCCUACAAUCCUGCUUUGUGCUGAGAUUGUAGUCCUGCAGGCGUACAACUAACAAGCUGGGUGCAGAUAAGAGACUACAGCUCCCCGCAUCCCAAGCAAAGGUCCCUCCUCUACGGAGCCCCUCCACGCGUCCACUGCGGUUCCGCCGUGCCAAGGGGAGCUUGGCUGUUCACGGGCCUCACCUGCUAGCGAGAAGAUAGCUUGGCCGGGCGGCUGAUCUCACCUUGUAAUUCUGACACUGUGUCUCCCGGGCUUGUCGGCUUCAUGACUUGUGCCCAAAGUUUGAUUUCUCGCAGACCAGGUAAAAGCCAAGAGGCUCUCAUAGGCGCCUUGGCAGAGUUGCCAUUGGAACGGGCGUCCUCUAGUAGCUGGGAUCUCCCCGCCCCUUCCUCCUGAGGGGCCACUCCUUUCUGCCCCACCCUUCUUAUUGCCCCACCCUUUGCCACACUCCUUCAGAGAUGCGCAGUGCUGCCCCUUUCUAUGGGCAGGGCCGAAGGUCCGCGUGUAAAAGUACCCAGUCCCUGGUAACCUGACACUUCCCUUUUAAAAGCCACCUUUUGUCUAUCUCUGGCCUGCCACGAUUCUUCCUGUGCUCCAUAGGAGGACCCAUUGGACCCCCGGGCUGGCUGCAGGGCCCACACCUGGGUUAGACCUCGCACAGGGACGCUGCUGCCACUGUAAUAAAGCGUGCCUACACGCUUCUGAAACUGGUGUAGGAACAACCUCAGUUCUGUGAAAGGCGGACGCAGCAGGACAGAAUCUCCGUGGACAUCUGUCUGGAGGAGCAAUUUUACUGCGACAUUUUAAAGAAACAAAUUUAAUUGAUUUCCAAGGGUGUCCAUCGCGCUUCCUUCACUGCCUUGAUCAUGUCGGGGUCACCACCUGCGGGGGUUUGUCCUGCAGACCCUGACUCAACGACGGAUGAAUAAUGUACACUGACACAGAUCUUAUGCUUGUCAGUCCUGCUGAGCAUCCAGGCCACUUACAGACUCCAAGAAGAGUCCUGUCAGCCACGGCUCUGACUUGUUGGCCCUCCCGGCAUUUAUUUAGCACACAUUUAAUGACAGAAGUCUCAGGCUGGAAACACUCUUUUUGUAGAACAUACAAAUGGACAUUUCUAAGCACAUUGAGGCCUAUAAUGAAAAAUCAAAUAUCCCACAAUGAAAACUAGAAGGAAGCUAUCUGUGAUAAUGCUUUGUGGUGUAUGGAUUCAUCUCACUGACUGAAACCUGAGUUUUGAUUCACCAGGUUGGAAACACUUUUACUGUAUUAUCUAUGAAGAAACGUUUUUGAGGCCAUUAAGUCCUACACUGAAAAACUGAAUAUACUGCAUUAAACAUUCUAAAGAAGCUAACUGUGAAAAUGCUUUGCAAUGUGUGUAUUUAUCUCACAGAGUUAAACCAUUGUUUUGAUUCAUCAGUUUGGAAACAGUUUCUUUGUAGAAUCUAUGAAGGGACCUUUCAGAGGCCAUUGAGGCCUAUAAUAAAGAAACAAAUAUCCCACAAUAAAACAAGAAACAUAUAGAAACAAGCUGUAUGUGAAAAUGCUUUGUGAUAUCUGGAUUCUUCUCACUGAAUCAAACCUGGGUUUUGAGUCACCAGGUUGGAAACACUUUUUUUGUAAAAUCUAGGAAGGGAAAUUUCUGAGCCCAUUGAGGCACAUAGUGAAAAACCGAGGAUCCUGUGAUAAAAACUAGAAAAACGCAAUAUGUGAAGUUGCUUUGUGAUGUGUGGAUUCGUCUCCCCGAAUGGAAUCUCUGUUUUGAUUCACCAGGUUGGAAACAAUGUUUUUGUAGAAUGUACAAUGAGACAUUUCUGAGUCCAUUUAGGCCUAUACUGAGAAACCCAAUAUCCUGCUAUAAGAAGUAGAAAAAUGCUAUCUGUAAAAAUGCUUUGUGAUGCAUGGAUUCAUCUCACAGAGUUAAAGCUUUGUUUGGAUUCAACAGGUGAAAAACCCUUUUUUACAGAAUCUACAAAAAACAUCUCUGAUCCCAUUGAAGUUUAUAGUGAAAAACAGAAUAUCCUGUGAUAAAAAGUAGAAACAAGCUAUCCGUUGAAAUGCUUUGCAAGGUCUGAAUUCAUCUGACAGAGUUAAACCUCUCUUUUAAUUCAUCAAUUUGGAAACACGCUUUUCUUAGAAUCUAUGAAGAAACAUUUCUGACCCAAUUGAAACCUAUACUGAAAAAUAGAAUAUCCCAAAAUAAAACCAGAGAAAAGUUAUCUCUGAAAAUGGAUUGUAAUAUGUGGAUUCAUCUAACAGAGUUAAACCUUUGUUUUGAUUCAACAGGUUGGAAACACUCUUGUUGUAGAAUCUAUGAAGGGAGAUUUCUGGGAGCAUUGAUGCUUAUAAUAAAAUACAGAGUAUCCCGCAAUGAAAAGUACAAACAACCUAUCUGUGCAAAUGCUUUGCCAUGUGGGAAUUCCUCUUACAAAGUUACACAUUUGUUUUGAUUCAAUAGGUUGAAACACUCUUUUUGUAGCAUCUACUAAGGAACAUUUCAGAGCUCACUGAGGCCUAUAAUGAAAAACUGAAUAUUCCAUGUUAAAAAGUAGAAACAAGCUAUAAGUUAAAAUGCUUUGGGUUUUCUGGAUUUACAUCACAGAUUUAAACUUUUGUUUUGAUUCAUCACCUUGGAAACUUGCUUUUUGUAGAAUCUAUGAAGGAACAUUUCUGAGCUCAUUGAGGCCUAUAGUGAAAAACGGAAUAUCCAGUGAUAAAAACCAGAAGCAAGCUAUCUGUGGAAAUGCUUUGUGAUGUUUGGAUUCAUCUCACAGAGUUAAAUCUUUGUUUUAAUUAAACGGGUUGGAAACACUCUUUUUGUAGAAUCAAUGAAAAGACAUUUCUGAGCCCACUCAGGCCUAUGUUGAAAAAUCGAAUAUCCCACAAUAAAAACUAGAAACAAGGCAAGUAUAAAAAUGCUUUGUGGUGUCUGGAUUCAUCUUAGAAAGUUAAACCUUUGCUUUAAUUAAAUAGGUUGGAAACACUGUUGUUGUAGAAUCUACGAAGGGACAUUUCUGAGGCCUUCGACUCCUAUUGUUACACACUGAAUAGCCCAUGAUAAAAACUAGAAACAAGCUUGCUCUGAAAGUGCUUUGUAAUGCGUGGACUUAUCUCACUGAAUGAAACCCUUUGUUUGAUUCACUAGGUUAAAAACACUGUUGUUGUAGAAUCUAUGAAGGGACAUUUAUGAGUCAAUUGAGACCUACAGUAAGAAACCAAAUAUUUCGUGAUAAAAAUUAGAAGCAAGCUAUUUGAAAAAAUGCUUUGCAAUGUGUACAUUCAUCUCACCAAAUAUAACUUGUGUUUUGAAUCACCUGAUUGGAAAUACUCUUUUUGUAAAAUCUCCAAAGGGACAUUUCUGAGCCCAUUGAGGCCUAUAAUAUAAAACAGACUAUCUUGUGAUAAAAACUAGAAAGAAGCUAUCUGUGAAAAAUGCUUGUGAUAUGUUGAUUCAUCUCAGAGUUAAAUUAUUAUUUUGAUUGAACAGCUUGGAAACACUCUCCUUGUAGAAUCUAGAAAUUGUAAUUUCUGAGCUCAUUGAGACCUAUAGUGAAAAACCAAAUAUCCCGCAAUAAAAACCAGAAACAAGGCAUCUAUGAAAAUUCUUUGUGAUAUGUGCAUUCAUCUCACAGUGCAAAACUUUUUCUUUGAUUCAACAGGUUGGAAACUCUGUUUUUGUAAAAUUAAUGAAGGCACAUUUCUGAGCCCUUUGAAACCUAUAGUGAAAAACUGAAUAUCCCACCUUAAAAAUGAGAAACACGCUAUUAGUAAAAAUGUUUUGCAAUGUGUGGAUUCAUGUUGUGGGAAGUCAGGGACCCCAAAUGGAGGGACUGGCUGAAGCCAUGGCAGAAGAAUGUGGAUUGUGAAGAUUUCAUGGACAUUUAUUAGUUCACCAAAUUAAUACUUUUAUAAUUUCUUAUGCGUGUCUUUACUGCAAUCUCUAAACAUAAAUUGUGAAGAUUUCAUGGACGCUUAUCAUUUCCCCAAUCAAUACCCUUGUGAUUUCCUAUGCCUGUCUUUACUUUAAUCUCUUAGUCCUGUCAGCUGAGGCAGAUGUAUGUUGCCUCAGGACAAUGUGAUAAUUGUGUUACCUGCACAAACUGUAGAGCAUGUGUGUUUGAACAAAUAUGAAAUCUGGGCACCUUGAAAAAAGAACACGAUAAGAGCAAUUGUUCAGAGAAUAAGAGAGAUAACCUUAAACUCUGACUGCUGGUGAGCCAGAUGGAACAGAGCCAUAUUUCUCUUCUUUCAAAAGCAAAUAGGAGAAAUAUUGCUGAAUUCUUUUUCUCAGCAAGGAACAUCCCUGGGAAAGAGAAUAUGCACCCAGGGGUAUAAGUCUAUAGAUGGCCCCCCUGUGCGUGCCCCUCUUUUAUGGUCUGUAGACUACAGGGGUGAAAUAGACCCCAGUCUCCCAUAGUGCUCCCAGGCUUAUUGGGAAGAGGAAAUUCCUGUCUAAUAAAUUUUAGUCAGACCGGUUGCUCUCAAAACCCUUUCUCCUAAUAAGAUGUUAUCAAUGACAAUGGUGCCCAAAACUUCAUUAGCAAUUUUAAUUUCACCACGGUCCUGUGGUCCUGUGAUCUCGCCCUGCCUCCAUUUGCCUUGUGAUAUUCUAUUACCUUGUGAAGUACUUGAUGUUCGUGACCCACACCUAUUCGUAUACUCCCUCUCCUUUUGAAACGCCUUAAUAAAACCUUGCUGGUUUUACAGCUUGUGGGGCAUCAUGGAACCUACCAAUACGUGAUGUCUACCCCGGACGCCCA
ensembl:lncRNA LINC00662 long intergenic non-protein coding RNA 662